rnacentral:lncRNA from 1 species
AGAAUUGACCACAAAUGUCCUUUCAUUAAGUGGUUGUUAAAAGCCUUAUUUUUGAAACACAGGAGGAAAAAAGAAUAUAAAGAAGAAAGGAAAAAAAGGAGUCUGAAAGUUUUCUUCAGAGGCUUCAUCAUUCUAAAACUUAUAGGAGUGCUUUCCUAAAAUUAUGGGAAUAUGAGGACAAGAAAGAAGGCAAGAAGCAAGCAGCAUUCCUCGUUCCCAAGGGGAAACACAAACACCCCGAAGCAGAUCUGUCUAAGGUGGCCAUGCAAUGGUUUCAUGAGGCCCAGAAGUAGGUCCAGGCACCCAUUUACUUGGCUGCAGCAUGAAAGCACUUUAGAAGGAAGGGAGGGACUCAACCUGGCAGAAGAAGUCAAAAAUGUUCUGAGCCUGGAAAUAGCUCUCUGAGCAGCAAAAUCUUCCAGCAUCCACUUUCUGAAGUGACCCUGAGAGGAGAGGAAGCUCUAGGAAGGAGAGGACAUUUUCUGUCUCUUCCCACACCAGAGAAAUCUUGUAGAAAUCACUUCCCACCCUUCUGUCCACUCCUUCUCUCUCACGUGUUCCUUGUCUCUUCUUGUGUCUCUGUUGUACUGAAUUUGAGGUUUGUUCUGCUGAGGAGACCCAGCCUAUCAGGGAGGAUGUGGGAGAAGGAUCAGAGCCAGCACUUGCUCCUUUAAUUCUGUCUGGCAUGUCGCUACCUAAAAUGAUACCAGGAGUCAGCUCGUG